rnacentral:tRNA from 1 species
GUGAGGGUGGCUCAGUCGGUUGAGUGUCUGACUUCGGCUCAGGUAAUGAUCUCACAGUUUGUGGGUUUGAACCCCAUGCUGCAUC